GAUCAUGGCUCAGAACGUACGCUGGCGGCACGCCUAACACAUGCAAGUCGAACGAAGUAGCAAUACUUAGUGGCAGACGGGUGAGUAACAUGUAGGUAUCUGCCCUUUGGCCUGGAAUAACACGAGGAAACUUGUGCUAAUACCGGAUAAGUCUUUACGGAGAAAGCUUUAUGCACCAUUGGAUGAGCCUGCACUUGAUUAGUUUGUUGGUGGGGUAAUGGCCUACCAAGACUGUGAUCAAUAGCUGAUUUGAGAGGAUGAUCAGCCACAUUGGGACUGAGACACGGCCCAAACUCCUACGGGAGGCAGCAGUGGGGAAUCUUGCACAAUGGAGGAAACUCUGAUGCAGCGAUGCCGCGUGAGUGAAGAAGGCCUUUGGGUUGUAAAGCUCUUUCGUCGGGGAAGAAAAUGACUGUACCCGAAUAAGAAGGUCCGGCUAACUUCGUGCCAGCAGCCGCGGUAAUACGAAGGGACCUAGCGUAGUUCGGAAUUACUGGGCUUAAAGAGUUCGUAGGUGGUUGAAAAAGUUGGUGGUGAAAUCCCAGAGCUUAACUCUGGAACUGCCAUCAAAACUUUUUAGCUAGAGUAUGAUAGAGGAAAGCAGAAUUUCUAGUGUAGAGGUGAAAUUCGUAGAUAUUAGAAAGAAUACCAAUUGCGAAGGCAGCUUUUCUGGAUCAUUACUGACACUGAGGAACGGAAGCAUGGGUAGCGAAGAGGAUUAGAUACCCUCGUAGUCCAUGCCGUAAACGAUGUGUGUUAGACGUUGGAAAUUUAUUUUCAGUGUCGUAGCGAAAGCGAUAAACACACCGCCUGGGGAGUACGACCGC
rnacentral:rRNA from 1 species